AAAGUACUCCCUCUGUCCGAAAAUACUUGUCGCGGAAAUGAAUAAAAAUGAAUGUAUCUAGAGCUAAAAUACAUCUAGAUACAUCCAUUAUUAACCAUUCCUUUGAUAAGUAUUUCUGGACGGAAGGAGUAGUAU
rfam:Hordeum vulgare subsp. vulgare, WGS project CAJW01000000 data, contig: morex_contig_50227